rnacentral:lncRNA from 1 species
UGAGGAGCAGGUGGUGGUGAUUCACGCCAGGACAGUUCUCACCCUUGCAGAGAAGUGGUUGGAGUCCAUUGAAGUGACAAAGUCAGUUCUGCAGCAGAAGAUGCUGGACAUUGAAAGUGAAAAGGAGCUGUUCAGUAAGCAGAAAGGUUACCUGGAUGAAGAGCUGGACUACAGGAAGCAGUCCAUGGAUCAGGCUCAUAAGGUCAGUGAACACAAAACAAAUCCACACACAAGCUACAGAAAAAAAAUCUAAACCAGAUUACUGUGCAC